CGGGGGGGGGGGCAAGCGUUGUUCGGAAUUACUGGGCGUAAAGGGCGCGCAGGCGGCCUGGCAAGUCCUACGUGAAAUCCCACAGCUCAACUGUGGAACUGCGUGGGAUACUGCUAGGCUUGAGUCCGGGAGAGGAGAGUGGAAUUCCCAGUGUAGCGGUGAAAUGCGUAGAUAUUGGGAGGAACACCGGUGGCGAAGGCGGCUCUCUGGACCGGUACUGACGCUGAGGCGCGAAAGCUAGGGGAGCAAACGGGAUUAGAUACCCCGGUAGUCCUAGCCGUAAACUUUGAGCACUUGGUGUGGCGGGUAUCGACCCCUGCCGUGCCGAAGCUAACGCAUUAAGUGCUCCGCCUGGGGAGUACGGUCGCAAGGCUG
rnacentral:rRNA from 1 species